CUAGAUUUCAGUCUUGGUUCGAUGUGGCACUUACUGAUUUUUGUUUCCAUGAGAUGCCAUAGCAACAAAGGAGGACGCACAGGACAUUCUCCAAACACCCAACAGGGCCGACAUCCCCGUUAUUUGCAAGAGGAAGCGACGCAGGUAUAGAGGGUACAGUGAUGAACAAAACGGAGCGAUUUCUCAACUCAAAUAAUAUUUUUGGAAAAACUGAACAUUUGCUAUCUAACUGAGAGUCUCCUCAUUGAAAACAUCUGAAGUUCUUCAAAGGCCAGCGAUAAUGUCCAUAUGAAUAAAAUAUGGAUACUCACAGAGUUCUGUGAGGGAUGGUCAACCCUGCUUCUGCCUGCUCCAGCGUUAUAUCCAAAAUGCCACACCGGGC
ensembl:lncRNA